GAUGAACGCUGGCGGCGUGCCUAUUACAUGCAAGUCGAGCGAACAGAUGAGGAGCUUGCUCCUCUGACGUUAGCGGCGGACGGGUGAGUAACACGUGGAUAACCUACCUAUAAGACUGGGAUAACUUCGGGAAACCGGAGCUAAUACCGGAUAAUAUAUUGAACCGCAUGGUUCAAUAGUGAAAGACGGUUUUGCUGUCACUUAUAGAUGGAUCCGCGCCGCAUUAGCUAGUUGGUAAGGUAACGGCUUACCAAGGCAACGAUGCGUAGCCGACCUGAGAGGGUGAUCGGCCACACUGGAACUGAGACACGGUCCAGACUCCUACGGGAGGCAGCAGUAGGGAAUCUUCCGCAAUGGGCGAAAGCCUGACGGAGCAACGCCGCGUGAGUGAUGAAGGUCUUCGGAUCGUAAAACUCUGUUAUUAGGGAAGAACAAAUGUGUAAGUAACUAUGCACGUCUUGACGGUACCUAAUCAGAAAGCCACGGCUAACUACGUG
rnacentral:rRNA from 1 species